rnacentral:lncRNA from 1 species
GUCCUAAACUGACUCUGGGGACUAAAGAAAAAAAGUAUAACUUAUCAUGGAAGUUGCUUAAGUGCAAAAUUAAUCAGGUCAGGGGAGGAUUGGAUAUGGAGAUUAAACUGUCAUGCUUGGAUCUGGAAGGUAGACACAGCAUCAUCUCUACCCAUAAAAGAUGGCAUUCUGCAAGACUGAGAAGAUGCCCACCUCCAUUCCCAGAGUCCAGGCCUUCAUUAACUCACACGAGAACUACAGAAGCAUCACCCCUAGUUCUCCUAUUAGUCACUCCUCCUCAACUGCCUCUAAUCCAUCCAUCCAUCUAUCCGGCAUGGGUCAUGUAAAGUUACAGCUGAGAAGGUACUCCCUCUCUUAAACUCAUCGGGGCUCCAUGUGGCUUCAAGAUUGAAAAUAAAACUACUGUGUAUGGUAUAUAAACUUAAGCUCUCAAGAGUGUGCCCACUCCCUGUGCUCCAGUCAUGGAACACUCUUUGCAGUUCUUUGAGCAUGCUCCGGUCUCUCUUUCAUGCUUUAUAUAAGCUGUCCUCUUUUAUUGGAACAUACUUCCUUCCCAUCCUGCCCCCAACACCCAACUUGUCUACCUGAGGAGCACUUAGUCAUUGUUAAAGACCCAGUCCAAGUUUUUCCUCCUUGGAAAUACUUCCCUGACCUACUUUGUCUGGGGUUUGUGCCCGCUUUCCUGUUUCUAAUGUUCCCUGAACCUACCUCUACAGUAGCAACCAUAUUCCAUUAUACAGUAUUUACUUAUUGACCCAUCCCUCUUCCCUGCCAGACCUUGAACUCCCUGAGGGCAAAAACCUUCCCAUUCUCAAUCUCUGCCACCUAACAUGGCCUGGCAGUUUACGAACGAACAAAUGCUUAAAUAUUAACUUAUUGAUCAUUGAAUGAAUGAAUGAAUAUCUAAAUCCUGUUGUCUAUUUUUAAACACAGGGACAAUUCUCAUAUAGUCUAACAUCUGUAUGAUAAAAAGUAUAAAGAUGGCAUUAAGAAAAACAGAAAGAAUAUGUACCAGAAAGGCUUAAUAAUGGUUAUUACAUUUCUUAAAAUAUAUUUUCUAUGUUAUAAAUGUACUCAUUUUAUAAUAAAA